UAUAUAGAGCUCGUCGCUGCUGGUAUGGUGUUGAUGAGGUGAUAUUACCUCAGAUUACUGACCUACCCAUUGAUGAGUAUCAUAUUUGUGAACAGUUUGUCCAUUAUCAUAAAGGAAGUUGUAAAGAGGCAUUAUCUGCAUUAUCUCCAGACGAAAUACGUGAAAGGUAGGUUUCAGGUCCAUGGCAGCUCGUUGCUACCUCCAAUUUAUUACA